rnacentral:lncRNA from 1 species
ACAACUCCUAAACAUGAUUAGUUCAUUCAUUGGUGGGAACAGGUCGGGCUGGGGUGAUAGGUCAGUUCUAAGGGGGGAGGUACAUCCAAACUGAUUGGUUUAGGCCCUGCGAUACCUACGUGCAAGAUCGCACAGGGCCCUGAGUUAUUAAACAACCAGGCGGUCAGGGGGAAUAUUUACUGGGCAGUUCCAAGUAUUGUCUUAACAGCUACAGGAAUUUCAGGUUUUGCAGUAGCAUAGGAACUUAACAAUACCUGGUCCUUUACAUUUUAACUCAGGCCUUGCAGCUUAGAAACUUUACAAUGCCUGGUCUUUUACACUUUAACUUCAAUUUCUUUUACCCUUACAUCACAUUGUUAGAGUUGGGAUGCCUUAAGCCUAAUAUGACCCAAAGAGACUUCUGAACAUGUACUUUUCCUGUAUUUUCUCCCAUCUUGAUGAAAGCUAUUCACUCAGGUGCUCCAAACCAAAACUCAGGCAUCAUCCUUGUUUCUUCUCUUUCUCUAUACUCUACAUCCAGUCCUUUCUGCUCAAUCUCAAAAUAUAUCUUGAAUCUCAAAUCACUACUGCUGCCUCUCUAGUUAAAGCCAAAACUGUUCCCAGGGUCUCCUGAUGGGCAUCUUGUACCUAGUUUUGUCCGGCCAUGGCCAAUUCUCCACUCUCCAACUAAAACUCAGAUCUGAUGAUGUCAGCUUCUGACUCAAUCAAAUCAAGGGCUUCUCAUCUCAGAAUAAACUCCCAGUUCUCAUGGCACUCUCCAACCAAAUCAGUCCCCAUAUUCCCAAUAUGCCAGGUUAGGCCUUUAAACUUGACUGGAAUGUUCUUUCCCCAAUAUCCUUUUGGGGUAAUAAAAUGAAGGCAAAAGCUAGUGGAUAUCCAAAAAGCACUCCUUUCACCCUUUAUCUAUCUCAAAGCCCUUAUGACUAUGUAGAGUUAUACCUUAU